GUAGCCUGCCGGUUCGGCCAUGCGCAGUACGUGCCAGCCGGGAGCGAGCCGGCAUGGCGUCUGCCGGGCCGACCACGGGCGGUCAUGCGCAGUGGGUGCCCACCGGGGGCGCGCGCGGGCAUGCGCAGUGCGUGCCCGCCGAGCACAAGAACGCGACUGCGCGCUGUGGCUGUCGAGAGCGAGCUCGAGGCUGGGGCUGCAGAUUUCAUAAGUAGGCAACCCCGUUUACGUUAAUUUUGUUUCUCACACGGUUCUGACUCUAGAUUUAAUGUGCCCUUUGGAGCACCACCCUAGCCUGUACUGACGGAGGGGACCUGGUUUUCGUCACUGCUGGGAUGCCAGCCCCUAGAGAGUGCCUGGGACACGACAGAGAGUCCACCAUGGUGGGGUCAAGUCCUCUCCGAGACGAACGUGAAUCGUCCCAGCCCCGCGCGUCUGCGUUCGAGGAAGGUGAAAACGCAGCAGGUUGGUGCGGAAUGCUGAGUGUUCUCGGAAGAAAAACGACCCCAGAUUCAGCACAGCUGUUUCCAUAGGGCUCAGAGCCACGCGGACGCAUUUAAUAAAUAGAAGAAUUUUUUAAUCAAGUCAGGAGACAGGAUGUAUAAACUUUAUUAUUGAUUACACGUUUGUGAAAGCCUUCUCAAUAAAGCAGCCUUGCUCCGCUCUGUCAG